rnacentral:rRNA from 1 species
GAUGAACGCUGGCGGCGUGCCUAAUACAUGCAAGUCGAGCGAACGGACGAGAAGCUUGCUUCUCUGAUGUUAGCGGCGGACGGGUGAGUAACACGUGGAUAACCUACCUAUAAGACUGGGAUAACUUCGGGAAACCGGAGCUAAUACCGGAUAAUAUUUUGAACCGCAUGGUUCAAAAGUGAAAGACGGUCUUGCUGUCACUUAUAGAUGGAUCCGCGCUGCAUUAGCUAGUUGGUAAGGUAACGGCUUACCAAGGCAACGAUGCAUAGCCGACCUGAGAGGGUGAUCGGCCACACUGGAAGUGAGACACGGUCCAGACUCCGACGGGGGGAAGCAGUAGGGAAUCUUCCGCGAUGGGGGAAAGCCUGACGGAGCAACGCGGCGUGAGUGAUGAAGGUCUUCGGAUCGUAAAACGCUGUUAUUAGGGGAGAACAUAUGUGUAAGUAACUGUGCACAUCUUGACGGUACCGAGUCAGAAAGCCACGGCUAACUACGUG